UACGUAGGGGGCGAGCGUUGUCCGGAUUCAUUGGGCGUAAAGCGCGCGUAGGCGGCUCGACAAGUCGGCCGUGAAAUCUCCAGGCUCAACUUGGAGGGGUCGGGCGAGACUGUCGGGCUCGAGGUGGGCAGAGGGCAGUGGAAUUCCGGGUGUAGUGGUGGAAUGCGUAGAGAUCCGGAGGAACACCAGUGGCGAAGGCGGCCCACUGGACCGGUACUGACGCUGAUGCGCGAAAGCGUGGGGAGCAAACGGG
rnacentral:rRNA from 1 species